rnacentral:rRNA from 1 species
UACGUAGGUGGCAAGCGUUGUUCGGAUUUAUUGGGCGUAAAGAGCGUGUAGGCGGCCAAGCAGGUCCGCUGUGAAAACUCGAGGCUCAACCUCGAGACGUCGGUGGAAACCGUUUGGCUAGAGUCCGGAAGAGGAGAGUGGAAUUCCUGGUGUAGCGGUGAAAUGCGCAGAUAUCGGGAAGAACACCCGUGGCGAAGGCGGCUCUCUGGGACGGUACUGACGCUGAGACGCGAAAGCGUGGGGAGCGAACAGG